rnacentral:rRNA from 1 species
GACGUAGGGCGCGAGCGUUGUCCGGAUUUAUUGGGCGUAAAGAGCUCGUAGGCGGCUUGUCGCGUCGUUCGUGAAAACCUGCAGCUCAACUGCAGGCUUGCGGUCGAUACGGGCAGGCUAGAGUUCGGUAGGGGAGACUGGAAUUCCUGGUGUAGCGGUGAAAUGCGCAGAUAUCAGGAAGAACACCCGUGGCGAAAGCGGUUCUCUGGGCAUUAACCUGACGCUG